rnacentral:rRNA from 1 species
UACGAAGGGGGCUAGCGUUGUUCGGAAUCACUGGGCGUAAAGGGCGCGUAGGCGGCCGAUCAAGUCGGGGGUGAAAGCCUGUGGCUCAACCACAGAAUUGCCUUCGAUACUGUUUGGCUUGAGACCGGAAGAGGUUAGUGGAACUGCGAGUGUAGAGGUGAAAUGCGCAGAUAUCAGGAGGAACACCAAUGGCGAAGGCAGCUCGCUGGGACGGUACUGACGCUGAGACGCGAAAGCGUGGGGAGCAAACAGG